GUAAGUCAAGUAAAAUGGUGUGUAAAUGAAAUAAUCAGGAAAAAGUAUUAUUUAAAGUGGUAUAUUUCAUUAUUUGUUUUAUUACAGAGUCUGUGGCCCGUGACUUCAAAUAUAUUCUACUUCUGGCCCCAACAAAAAAAGUUUGGACACCCCUGACUUAGACCAUAAACGAGAACAGACGUUUGUUGGCUCUUGAUCUGAACUGCAGUUUGCCGUCUGCAGGCGUUUGCCAGGUGGUGGUGUGGCGAGAGGCCGAUGAGGCCGUCUGAUGGAGAGGUCUGUGUUUGUGUUCAGUCAGCAGUAUCACUCCCGACUGCUUCCCACGAGAGCUCCUCUGGAACAUGUGGAGGUGAACAUCGGAACGUGCACUUACGAUGCAGUAUGCCACCAGGGCUCCCUGUGCAAACCCUGCCAGUACGUCAGUGGGGUGGUGCUUGUGGUCGGAGACACGGGAUAGGCCGGUGUAGAAGGCCAUCAUCAGUAGAGUGAACUGAACCAGCGGCCGCAGGAGCCGCGCCCCCUCCCAGGUGAACCUCGAUUGAAGAGUGCGCCACGUUCCUGACUGACGUCUCCUCCUGCUGUUAUUGUCCUCUGUCUGUUUGAGUGGCGUUUCUCUUCAUCGCUAAACACACAGUCCUCAGCCUGGUCCUCCUCUCCACAUCUGGACGUCACCUCUGGAAUUUUAGCAGCUCAGAUCUCAGAGCAGCUCAGAGCGGCGUGAUGGAGGGCAGCGUUAAUUCAUCCCAUGUGUUCAACCUCCACCUCCCCCCAUCCUACACCCUCCUUACACUCCUCCCCCAGAAAUGUGCGUGCAAGAGCUGUGGGGGGGUGGGGGAUCUGAGGGGCAGAGGGGCUCAUGGCUGGUACCAAUAAAGAGAAGUGCUGAGCCAGCCGUCGGGGCUCAUGCUGCUCGGCUGCUGUUUGGUUUAGAGCCUCAGGUUUGAAGUCUGGAGCUUCGCUGAGAGCUGAGGAGGUUGUGUAUUACCCUCUGAUCAAAGCUGCUGUGUGGAUAUAAGGGGGGUCUGAUCCUGGAUUCGGGGGGAUUUUUAGUAAAGUGGACUUUUUCAGCCAGCUGGACAACUUUAUUAUCAAUCUUCAUUGAGUGUUCAAUCUGUCAAGUUCUCUGGAUGUUCUCAGAACAUUGUAUACAGCUCUGGGGAAAAUAUAUAAGACCAUUAUUUGCUAUUUAAAUGUUUAUGUUUGAGUAAAAUGAACAUGUUGUUUAAUUCUAUAAACUACGGACAACAUUUCUUCCCAAUUAUAAAUGAAAAUAUUGUUAUUUAGAGCAUUUAUUUGCAGAAAAUGAAAAAUGUCUGAAACAACAAAAUAAUGCUCAAAUAAUGCAAAGAAAACAAGUUCAUAUUCAUAAAGUUUUAAGAGUUCAGAAAUCAAUAUUUGGUGGAAUAAACCUGGUUUUUAAUCACUGUUUUCAUGCAUCUUGGCCUUUUCUCCUCCACCAGUCUUACACACUGCUUUUGGAUAACUUUAUGCUGCUUUACUCCUGGUGCAAAAAUUUAAGUAGUUCAGUUUGGUGGUUUGAUGGCUUGUGAUCAUCCAUCGUCCUCUUGAUUAUAUUCCAGAGGUUUUCAAUUUGAUAAAAUCAAAGAAACUCAUAGAAGAUGUAUAGCUACCAUCUUUUCUAUAAUACAGUUUUAGUGUUUAAGUAUUUAGUAUUGUAGUUUACUUGACUCAAGUGUCUACAAUGCUGAGAAGCACCUUAGGGAGCGUAGAAAAAUAUUGAACAAAAUGAAUAAUGUAUAACAAAUCUAUUUAACUUUACCAAAAUGUGACCUAGUAACAUGUUCUAAUGUUUAAACGAUGAUAAACAACAAACUAUAGCUACUGUUAUUUUUAGUAUUUAAGCAAUAGUAUUUUAGUUUGACUAAAAUUCACAUUUAUAUGGUUUUAUAUAGCGUUACCAGCGCUGAGUGACAUUUUACUAUGGUCCCUAAAGUAAGGGACAAAAUGAGUAAUGAAUAAAUCUGUUUAACUUUACCAAAAUGUGACUGAGUAACAUAUUCAAAUGUUCAAACAUUGAUAAACAACAAACUAUUGAAAACAGACUUUUUGAUCUUUGCUAAUAUUUUAGUAUUUAAGUAUUAAAAUAUUCCACAUUUAUGUGAUUUUAUAAAGGUGUUUCCAGCACUGAGUACUGAUACUUUAGGGACCGUAGAAAAAUAUGGAACAAAAUGAAUAAUGAAUAAAUCAAUUUAGGUUUCUCCAAAUGUGACCUCUUGACGUGAAACUUGGUUUGAAAUCACAAGGUCCCAUUUUUAUUCAUUAAACUUUUUGUCUGGUAUUUUUCUACAGCCCCUAAAGUGCUGCUCGAUGCAGGGAAGAAACAUAAGCAUGGCAGAGGUGUUGAGUAAUGAAGUACAAAUACUUUGUCAUCUUACUUAAGUAGAAAUGUUGUUACUGGAGUAAUUAUUUUACAUUUUGACACAAUUAUCUGAACUUUCUACUCCUUACAUUUUAAUAAAAAUAGCCUUGUUACUCCUA